rnacentral:rRNA from 1 species
GACGAACGCUGGCGGCGUGCUUAACACAUGCAAGUCGAACGGAAAGGCCCUGCUUUUGUGGGGUUCUCGAGUGGCGAACGGGUGAGUAACACGUGAGUAACCUGUCCCUGACUUUGUGGUAUCUUCAUGAAACUGGGGCUCAUACCGCAUAGGAUCUCUUGCUGCAUGGUGGGGGUUGGUAAGUUUCGGCGGUUGGGGAUGUACUGGCGGCUUAUCAGCUUGUUGGUGGGGUAGUGUCUUACCAAGGCUUUGACGGGUAGCCGGCCUGAGAGGGUGACCGGAGACAUUACGACUGAGAUAAGACCCAGACUCGUAUGGGACGCAACGGUGGAGAGUAUUACAGAAUAGGCGGGAGGCAGAUGUAGCAACGCCGCGUGCGGGAAGACGGGAUGCGGGUGGUAAACCGAUGUGGACUGAGACGAGGAGAGAGUGACGGUAAUGGGUAAAGAAGCACCGGCUAACUACGUG